ensembl:lncRNA
CAGCUUUUCACCAAGCUCUUCACUCUUCACAUUUCAUUUUCUCAGCGUUAGUUAUAUUGUGGCAAUAGGCCUCAUUUUGAUUUCAACUACCACAGUGUCUGAAUGUCAGGAAAACUAACGCCACAAACCAUGCAUCUUGGUCUCCUACCAUCACAUGAGAGGAAACCUGGAUGAUUUGUCUAAGCAGCUGCUGAGGAGGUCAUCAGGUGGCAUCAAGCUAAAAUGACCAAUCCUAUGUCCAACUUGCCAUCAGUAAGCCACAUGUAACAACCUGAGAUCACUGCUUUGAAGUCCAGCAGCAGACACAGGAGGGGUUGGAUGACUCAUAUUAAAAAUAAAAGGAUGGUGACUGCCAGGAACUCUUGAUCAGUUUGUAAAAGAUUAAACAGAAGAAAAAACAGGAAGAAAAAGAAAAAAAGACUUGCCAAAGCUUGAAAUGUUGAAAACAUGGCUGGAUGCAACAACUUACAGAGGAAAAAUUUUGUAGCAAAGUAGGUAUAAAACAAAACAGCUCAAGAGCUCUUCCUGAUGUCUCAUAUCUAUGGAAGGAUGAUUAGGUACUGGCACAAUUACAAAGCAAAUGGCACACAAUGCAUUUUCCUCAG